GAUAACAGUGCAAUCCUAUUUGAAAGCCCAUAUCAAAAAUUGGGGUUUACGACUUCGAUGUUGAAUCAGGACAUCCAAAUGGUGCAACCGCUAUUAAAGGUUGGUUUGUUCAAUGGUUAAAGUCCUACGUGAUCUGAGUUCAGACUGGAGAAAUCCAGGUC
rfam:Sarcophilus harrisii ctg7180002419672, whole genome shotgun sequence.